rnacentral:rRNA from 1 species
CUGCCCAAGAGACUGGGAUAACACCUGGAAACAGAUGCUAAUACCGGAUAACAACACUAGACGCAUGUCUAGAGUUUGAAAGAUGGUUCUGCUAUCACUCUUGGAUGGACCUGCGGUGCAUUAGCUAGUUGGUAAGGUAACGGCUUACCAAGGCAAUGAUGCAUAGCCGAGUUGAGAGACUGAUCGGCCACAUUGGGACUGAGACACGGCCCAAACUCCUACGGGAGGCAGCAGUAGGGAAUCUUCCACAAUGGACGAAAGUCUGAUGGAGCAACGCCGCGUGAGUGAAGAAGGGUUUCGGCUCGUAAAGCUCUGUUGGUAGUGAAGAAAGAUAGAGGUAGUAACUGGCCUUUAUUUGACGGUAAUUACUUAGAAAGUCACGGCUAACUACGUGCCAGCAGCCGCGGUAAUACGUAGGUGGCAAGCGUUGUCCGGAUUUAUUGGGCGUAAAGCGAGUGCAGGCGGUUCAAUAAGUCUGAUGUGAAAGCCUUCGGCUCAACCGGAGAAUUGCAUCACAAACUGUUGAACUUGAGUGCAGAAGAGGAGAGUGGAACUCCAUGUG